CGCGGGGUGGAGCAGUUUGGUAGCUCGUCGGGCUCAUAACCCGAAGGUCGUGGGUUCAAGUCCCUCCCCCGCUACCA
rnacentral:tRNA from 1 species